CAAGUCGAGCGAACAGACGAGGAGCUUGCUCCUUUGACGUUAGCGGCGGACGGGUGAGUAACACGUGGGUAACCUACCUAUAAGACUGGGAUAACUUCGGGAAACCGGAGCUAAUACCGGAUAAUAUUUCGAACCGCAUGGUUCGAUAGUGAAAGAUGGCUCUGCUAUCACUUAUAGAUGGACCUGCGCCGUAUUAGCUAGUUGGUAAGGUAACGGCUUACCAAGGCAACGAUACGUAGCCGACCUGAGAGGGUGAUCGGCCACACUGGAACUGAGACACGGUCCAGACUCCUACGGGAGGCAGCAGUAGGGAAUCUUCCGCAAUGGGCGAAAGCCUGACGGAGCAACGCCGCGUGAGUGAUGAAGGUCUUCGGAUCGUAAAACUCUGUUAUUAGGGAAGAACAAACGUGUAAGUAACUGUGCACGUCUUGACGGUACCUAAUCAGAAAGCCACGGCUAACUACGUGCCAGCAGCCGCGGUAAUACGUAGGUGGCAAGCGUUAUCCGGAAUUAUUGGGCGUAAAGCGCGCGUAGGCGGUUUUUUAAGUCUGAUGUGAAAGCCCACGGCUCAACCGUGGAGGGUCAUUGGAAACUGGAAAACUUGAGUGCAGAAGAGGAAAGUGGAAUUCCAUGUGUAGCGGUGAAAUGCGCAGAGAUAUGGAGGAACACCAGUGGCGAAGGCGACUUUCUGGUCUGUAACUGACGCUGAUGUGCGAAAGCGUGGGGAUCAAACAGGAUUAGAUACCCUGGUAGUCCACGCCGUAAACGAUGAGUGCUAAGUGUUAGGGGGUUUCCGCCCCUUAGUGCUGCAGCUAACGCAUUAAGCACUCCGCCUGGGGAGUACGACCGCAAGGUUGAAACUCAAAGGAAUUGACGGGGACCCGCACAAGCGGUGGA
rnacentral:rRNA from 1 species